AAGAGCCUAUUUUGAAGUCCAUCUCAAUACCUCGCCCUCCUUUUUCUCAAAGGCUGAAAAAGAAGCAAGAAAAGAGUAAGCAUCAAAAGUUUUUAUCUAUGUUAAAAGAGUCGUCAAUCAACAUUCGGAAUACCCCAAACUUUCUUUAAGUCAAAUUUAGUAUCUAGAAAAGUUAGUGAUGACUUCCUAAAUGAUUAAUGUUUAAAUU
rnacentral:lncRNA from 1 species